GACGAACGCUGGCGGCGUGCUUAACACAUGCCAGUCGAACGGAAAGGCCCUGCUUUUGUGGGGUGCUCGAGUGGCGAACGGGUGAGUAACACGUGAGUAACCUGCCCUUGACUUUGGGAUAACUUCAGGAAACUGGGGCUAAUACCGGAUAGGAGCUCCUGCUGCAUGGUGGGGGUUGGAAAGUUUCGGCGGUUGGGGAUGGACUCGCGGCUUAUCAGCUUGUUGGUGGGGUAGUGGCUUACCAAGGCUUUGACGGGUAGCCGGCCUGAGAGGGUGACCGGCCACAUUGGGACUGAGAUACGGCCCAGACUCCUACGGGAGGCAGCAGUGGGGAGUAUUGCAAAAUGGGCGGAAGCCUGAUGCAGCAACGCCGCGUGCGGGAUGACGGCCUUCGGGUUGUAAACCGCUUUCGCCUGUGACGAAGCGUGAGUGACGGUAAUGGGUAAAGAAGCACCGGCUAACUACGUG
rnacentral:rRNA from 1 species